rnacentral:rRNA from 1 species
AUUGAACGCUGGCGGCAGGCCUAACACAUGCAAGUCGAGCGGAUGAAGGGAGCUUGCUCCUGGAUUCAGCGGCGGACGGGUGAGUAAUGCCUAGGAAUCUGCCUGGUAGUGGGGGAUAACGUCCGGAAACGGGCGCUAAUACCGCAUACGUCCUGAGGGAGAAAGGGGGGGAUCUUCGGACCUCACGCUAUCAGAUGAGCCUAGGUCGGAUUAGCUAGUUGGUGGGGUAAAGGCCUACCAAGGCGACGAUCCGUAACUGGUCUGAGAGGAUGAUCAGUCACACUGGAACUGAGACACGGUCCAGACUCCUACGGGAGGCAGCAGUGGGUAAUAUUGGACAAUGGGCGAAAGCCUGAUCCAGCCAUGCCGCGUGUGUGAAGAAGGUCUUCGGAUUGUAAAGCACUUUAAGUUGGGAGGAAGGGCAGUAAGUUAAUACCUUGCUGUUUUGACGUUACCAACAGAAUAAGCACCGGCUAACUUCGUG